rnacentral:rRNA from 1 species
UACGUAGGGGGCAAGCGUUGUCCGGAUUUAUUGGGCGUAAAGAGCUCGUAGGCGGUGUGUCGCGUCGGCCGUGAAAACCUGCAGCUUAACUGUGGGCUUGCGGUCGAUACGGGCAUCACUGGAGUUCGGCAGGGGAGACUGGAAUUCCUGGUGUAGCGGUGAAAUGCGCAGAUAUCAGGAGGAACACCCGUGGCGAAGGCGGCUCUCUGGGACGGUACUGACGCUGAGACGCGAAAGCGUGGGGAGCGAACAGG